AGCCGUACCUUUGAGGGGGGGUACUGUCAAGAUCCUGCAGCUCCAGCCCGGGCUGUGCGGGUGUCCGCGUGGUUGCGCUGAUUGGGAGGCGCACACCUGCGCCUCAUGCGGGCUGAUUAGUCCAUGUAUUUUUAUGACCCCGAUGACGACUGGUCGCCGCCAGUUCGUUGAGGUUCAUGUCCCGUUCGAGUACUCCCGUAUCCCUGAUCGACAACCGGUGUGUACCGACCUUCGCCUGUUCUCCGACCAACCCCGUAAGCCUGACUCCUUUGACACUUCUGCCUGCUUUGAUCGUUCUCCUGUGUCCUGACCCUGCCUGCCCGCUCACCUGCUCUCUUCGCCCGAGGUCCCAACUACCGCUGCUGCACCUGACUGCCUGCCCGAUCCCUGACGACGAAAUAAUAAAUGUUUCUCCCCGAACUACCUUGCAUCGUCCGAGUCCUGCAUUUGGGUCCUACUCCCGUUCCGAUGGGACGUGACAAUCAGCACCAAAAACCUGAAGUGGAGGAUUCGGAAAGUGACGCCAGUGCUGUAAUUACCAUGCAAGACCAUCAAAGCAGUGGAACAGGUGGUUCACUAUCACCAUGAAGA